GCUUAGGUAGCGUAGUAGGUUAGCGCGUCAGUCUCAUAAUUUGAAGGUCGUGAGUUCGACAUUCACCUUGCGCA
rnacentral:tRNA from 1 species